AUUGAACGCUGGCGGCAGGCUUAACACAUGCAAGUCGAGCGGUAGCACAGGGGAGCUUGCUCCCUGGGUGACGAGCGGCGGACUGGUGAGUAAUGUCUGGGAAACUGCCUGAUGGAGGGGGAUAACUACUGGAAACGGUAGCUAAUACCGCAUAACGUCGCAAGACCAAAGAGGGGGACCUUCGGGCCUCUUGCCAUCAGAUGUGCCCAGAUGGGAUUAGCUAGUAGGUGGGGUAAUGGCUCACCUAGGCGACGAUCCCUAGCUGGUCUGAGAGGAUGACCAGCCACACUGGAACUGAGACACGGUCCAGACUCCUACGGGAGGCAGCAGUGGGGAAUAUUGCACAAUGGGCGCAAGCCUGAUGCAGCCAUGCCGCGUGUGUGAAGAAGGCCUUCGGGUUGUAAAGCACUUUCAGCGAGGAGGAAGGUGGUGAGCUUAAUACGUUCAUCAAUUGACGUUACUCGCAGAAGAAGCACCGGCUAACUCCGUG
rnacentral:rRNA from 1 species